rnacentral:misc_RNA from 1 species
GGAUGCAUCAGAAAGACAGUGUUAGAGAAAGAAAGAAACAACUCUAACAUUGAGCAGGGUAAGCAAGAUUGGUUUUUGAAGUUGCAGUCGAUGAAAGUGCCAGAUUAUCCUAUUUGGGUACCUUCAGCCAAAGAAGACUGUGAAAGUGAUUGCUUCAGAAAUUUCUCCUGCAUAGCUUAUUCAUACUACAGAGGCAUAGGGUGUAUGCAUUGGGAAGGGAGCUUAAUUGAUUCUCAGAAAUUCUCCAAGGGUGGGGCUGAUUUAUUCAUUCGCCUUGCAUAUACUGAA